rnacentral:snRNA from 1 species
GCCUUCGGGCAUUUGGUCAAUUUGAAACGAUACAGAGAAGAUGUAAGCGCUACCCCAAAGCCUCCUGUUCGAAUCCUACAACAGUCACUAACUUCUGUAUAGUAGCAUGGCCCCUGCACUAAGGAUGACACGCUCAAUCAAAGAGAAGCUAUCAAUUUUU